rnacentral:lncRNA from 1 species
UGGAAAGAUUGCUUGAUCCUGGGAGGUUGAGGCUACAGUGAGCUGUGAUGGUAUCACUGCACUCUAUCCUGGACAACACAGCAAGAACCUGCCUCAAACAAAUGUAUUUGGUUGAUAUUGUAUCAGAUUUCUUCUGAAAAACGUUUUAAUGGUUUAGACUUUCACCAAGUGCAAGAAACUGGCAUUUUCUUUGUAACUGGCCUGGAAUGUUACCACUCUUUUAAACUUUUGUCAAGAUGAUCGUGAGAAAUAGUAUCUAAUUACUUUAAUUUGCAUUUCCCUGACUCCUAAUGAAGUUCAGCAUCUCUUCAAAUCUUUAUUGGGCAUUUGGAUUUUCUCUUCAGUGAAUUGCUUCAUCAUAUUCUCCAUUUAUUCUAAAGUUGUGUUCCUAUUUGUCGCUUUCAAAUCUAGUUUGGUGGAAUCCUUGCAUGUUAGAAACCUUAACCCUCGUAAUAUGUGUUGUAGAUAUUUUUCCCUCGCCUAUGAGUUGUCUUUCAUCCUUGAGCAUGAGUUUUAGAGUCAGAAGAACAACAGUAGGAUUUGAAUCAUGUUACGUUAUUUUCUAGUUGUCGUAUUUUUUAUUUCUUCAGCCUCUUAGAAUCUUAGUUUCCUUUAAAAUUGAGAUAAUAGUAUCUACUUUAUUCAAAAAAAUUUUUUGGCUGGACGCGGUGGCUCACGCUUGUAAUCCCACCAUUUUGGGAGGCCAAGGCAGGC